AACUCUAGAUUCCAGAGUAUACCUAAUCCCACUUCAAGAUAUUUACUUUCUAGGAUAAUUCUGAAUGAACUUUAGCAUAAUCCCAUAGUACAAGGCUAAAGCUCUCCAUGGAAUCAUAGAAAUCCAUGUUCUAGAAUCUUCUCACCAAUAGAAGUGGAGGAUGUUAAACUUUGCCUGUAAAACAAACACACUAUUGAGAAAUGGCGGUGGAUUUGCAUAUCAGGCAGGAGAUAGGCUGGCCUGAGUCAUCAGCUGCCAGUUUCAGCUGAACACUUCUGCUUUCCCCCAAACAUCACCGAGACACACAGCACAUUUUCUGGAAGGGAGGGAGUGGUGAUCUUUGCCCUUCAAAACGCCCUCUUCACAGGACGACGCUUUCAAAACACAUGGUAAAAGUGUUAUACAACAUACAAGAAACUGACUUCAUGUGGAAGGACCCCAAAAGAGUGAUGGGGUUUUUUGCUUGUGGCAGAGACUAUCAGACCAGACUAUACCAUCUGCUUCCCAUAAACCAGCAGUGGAAGAUGUGCCUCCCAAGCCCCGCUUGCAUCAGAAUGGUCGUGGUGUCCUAG
rnacentral:lncRNA from 1 species